rnacentral:rRNA from 1 species
UACGGAGGAUGCAAGUGUUAUCCGGAAUCACUGGGCGUAAAGCGUCUGUAGGUGGUUUAGUAAGUCAAUUGUUAAAUCUUGAGGCUCAACCUCAAAACAGCAACUGAAACUGCUAGACUUGAGUUUGGUAGGGGUAAAAGGAAUUUCCAGUGGAGCGGUGAAAUGCGUAGAUAUUGGAAAGAACACCGAUGGCGAAGGCUUUUUACUGGGCCACAACUGACACUCAGAGACGAAAGCUAGGGUAGCAAAUGGGAUUAGAUACCCCAGUAGUCCUAGCCAUAAACAAUGGAUACUAUAUGUUGCACGUUCACCGCAGUGUUAUAGCUAACGCGUUAAGUAUCCCGCCUGGGAAGUACGCUCGCAAGAGUG